rnacentral:rRNA from 1 species
GACGAACGCUGGCGGCGUGCCUAAUACAUGCAAGUCGGACGCAGUUGUGAACGGGUGAGUUACGCGUAGGUAACUACCUAUUAGCGGGGGAUAACUAUUGGAAACGAUAGCUAAUACCGCAUACUAGUAGAUGGACCUGCGUUGUAUUGGCUAGUAGGUAGGGUAAAGGCCUACCUAGGCAACGAUACAUAGCCGACUUGGGAGGGUGAUCGUGCCACAUGGGAAUGGGACACGGCCCAGACUUCUACGGGGAGCAGGAGUAGGGAAUCUUCGGCAAUGGGGGGAAACCUGAACGAGCACAGCCCCGGGAGGGAAGAAGGGUUUCGGAUCGGAAAGCUCUGUUGUUAAGGAAGCGGUACUUACACAGAAAGGAACGGCUAACUACGUGCCAGCAGCCGCGGUAAUAC